rnacentral:lncRNA from 1 species
UGGGGAUGGGUUGGGGACAGACUGGGGACGCAACUGGGGACACAGUUGGGGAUGGGUUGGGGACAGAUUAGGGGCACAGUUGGGGACACAAUUAGGGAUGGGUUGGGGACGCAGUUGGGGACACAAUUGGGGAUGGGUUGGGGACAGAUUGGGGACACAACUGGGGGCACAGUUAGAGAUGGGUUGGGGACAAAUUGGGGACGCCAUUGGGGAUGGGCUGGGGAUGGGCUGGGGACACAUUUGGGGACACAAUUAGGGGUGGGUUGGGGACACAAUUGGGGGCACAGUUGGGGAUGGGUUGGGGACACAUUCAGGAGACACAUUUGGGGACACAAUUAGGGGUGGGUUGGGGACAGACUGGGGACACAACUGGGGACACGUUUGGGGACACCGACCUUUCUGGACCUUGUCACAGAGCAGGAAGAUCUCGUCCCCCCCCUGGCAGCUCCCAGAGUUGCGGUUCACCCGGCAGAUGCGCAGCUCAGCCGUGCUGGGGGCACCUGGGGGGGACACACGAGGUCACCUGGGGUCACAUGGGGGGGGGGGAUCAUAUGGGGGUCACUCAGGGUCAUCCAUGGCGGCACAGGGUCACCUGGGGUCACACAGGGGUCACGUGAGGUCACUCAAGGUCAUACAUGGCGACGUGGGGUCACCUGGGGUCACGUGGGGUCAUAUGAGGUGACACGGGGUCACCUGGGGUCA